rnacentral:misc_RNA from 1 species
CUCCAGGCAUGUGAUCUGGAAGAAACAUGCUCUGCUUAAUGCUCCUAUAUAUGUGUAUUAUUUUCAUCUGUUCUUCACUUCAGAAAUCAUUUAUGCGAUUGCAGAAUUGUUUGUAACUUUUGUUUGGUACUUAAGGUUGUUAAAGAUCAAUGCAACGAAUGGAGGAACUUCAGCCACUGUUUAUCCCUUUAAUGUUAGUUUCAAGCUGUUCUGCAGAUAUUGUGAAUCAGUAGA